UAGGGCAAGUUUCAGACGGCACAAUCUGCUUCGACACUCCAAGGGCGCUGCCUCCUCAGGUGACAAGGGCCUCACAUUUGAAAGUUCACCAAGGGCCUCUCAAAAUAUUUUGAAUCUCAGGGCCGGCCCUAAUCUCCGGUGGAUGAAUAUGGAA